rnacentral:rRNA from 1 species
GACGAACCGUGCGAACGUUAUUCGGAAUCAUUGGGCUUAAAGGGCGCGUAGGCGGCGGCGUAAGUUGGAAGUGAAAUCCCAUCGGCUCAACCGUGGAAUUGCUCCCAAUACUGCGUCGCUCGAGGGAGAUAGGGGUCUGCGGAACUACCGGUGGAGCGGUGAAAUGUGUUGAUAUCGGUGGGAACGCCAGUGGCGAAAGCGGCAGACUUGACCCUUCCUGACGCUGAGGCGCGAAAGCUAGGGGAGCAAACGGG